rnacentral:rRNA from 1 species
GAUGAACGCUGGCGGCGUGCCUAAUACAUGCGAGUCGAGCGAACAGACGAGGAGCUUGCUCCUCUGACGUUAGCGGCGGACGGGUGAGUAACACGUGGAUAACCUACCUAUAAGACUGGGAUAACUUCGGGAAACCGGAGCUAAUACCGGAUAAUAUAUUGAACCGCAUGGUUCAAUAGUGAAAGACGGUUUUGCUGUCACUUAUAGAUGGAUCCGCGCCGCAUUAGCUAGUUGGUAAGGUAACGGCUUACCAAGGCAACGAUGCGUAGCCGACCUGAGAGGGUGAUCGGCCACACUGGAACUGAGACACGGUCCAGACUCCUACGGGAGGCAGCAGUAGGGAAUCUUCCGCAAUGGGCGAAAGCCUGACGGUGCAACGCCGCGUGAGUGAUGAAGGUCUUCGGAUCGUAAAACUCUGUUAUUAGGGAAGAACAAAUGUGUAAGUAACUAUGCACGUCUUGACGGUACCUAAUCAGAAAGCCACGGCUAACUACGUG